UACGUAGGGUGCGAGCGUUAAUCGGAAUUACUGGGCGUAAAGUGUGCGCAGGCGGCAAAGCAAGUCGAGUGUGAAAGCCCCGGGCUUAACUUGGGAAUUGCGCUCGAAACUACUUUGCUGGAGUGUGGCAGAGGAAGGUGGAAUUCCACGUGUAGCGGUGAAAUGCGUAGAUAUCAGGAGGAACACCUGUGGCGAAAGCGGCGCACUGGACCACAACUGACGCUGAGGCGCGAAAGCUAGGGGAGCAAACAGG
rnacentral:rRNA from 1 species